GGGGAUUUAGCUCAGUGGUAGAGCGCUUGCCUAGCAAGCUCAAGACCCUGAGUUCGGUCCUCAGCUCCG
rfam:Rattus norvegicus chromosome 10, whole genome shotgun sequence.